GUCCACGCUGUAAACGAUGGGCACUAGGUGCCGGGGGAGCGACCCCUUCGGUGCCGCAGCUAACGCGUUAAGUGCCCCGCCUGGGGAGUACGGCCGCAAGGCUGAAACUCAAAGGAAUUGACGGGGGCCCGCACAAGCGGUGGAGCAUGUGGUUUAAUUCGAAGCAACGCGAAGAACCUUACCUGGGCUUGACAUACACCGGAAAGCUCCUGGAAACAGGAGCCCUUCUUCGGAACCGGUGCACAGGUGCUGCAUGGCUGUCGU
rnacentral:rRNA from 1 species